AGAAAAAUGGACUGUUUCCUCACGCUCUUUUUUCUUGCAGUCAUUUCAGAUCUUGGUCUGGGUCUUGAGGUUCGUCAGUCCCAUUCUAAUGUCGUCGUAAAGCCUGGUGACAAGGUUCAGAUUUUUUGCACCCAUGAAAAGACUGACUACAGAGUGAUGCUCUGGUACCAGCGCUCACCUGGACACACAGCUAUGAAGCUCAUUGGACAUGUGUACUUUAAAGACACGACCAUGGAGGAGACAUAUAAAGAUGAUUUUAUCAUCUCUGGAGAUAUGAGUGGGAGCACAGCAAAAAACGGUUCUCUGACAAUCAGCGCUCCAGAACAAAAGCACACUGCGGUGUAUUUCUGUGCAGCAAGUGAAGCACAAUGA